CAGUUAAAUCUGAAUUCCAGAUGAAGCACAAAUCAUGUUUUAGUAUAAGUAUAUCCCAUGCAAUAUUUGGGACAUACUUAUACUAACAACUGGUUUAUGAUUUAUCUGAAAUUCAAAUGUGCCUGGGUGUCCUGUAUUUU
rnacentral:miRNA from 1 species